rnacentral:rRNA from 1 species
UUGGUUUCUCCCUUCUGACGAAGCAUGAUGUCAUUAAUUUGGUGUCGUGGGGAAUCAGGACUGUUACUUUGAAAAAAUUAGAGUGUUUAAAGCAAGCAUUAGCUUGAAUACAUUAGCAUGGAAUAAUGAAAUAGGACGUUUGAUCCUAUUUCGUUGGUUUCUAGGAUCGACGUAAUGAUUAAUAGGGAUAGUUGGGGGCAUUAGUAUUCAAUUGUCAGAGGUGAAAUUCUUGGAUUUAUUGAAGACUAACUACUGCGAAAGCAUUUGCCAAGGAUGUUUUCAUUAAUCAAGAACGAAAGUUAGGGGAUCGAAGACGAUCAGAUACCGUCGUAGUCUUAACCAUAAACUAUGCCGACUAGGGAUCGGAUGAUGUUAAUUUUUUAAUGACUCAUUCGGCGCCUUACG